UUCGUCUUUCUGAAGGUUACUCUCUCUCUUACCUUUCAAAUAUAUGUUUUUUGGCCUCUGGCGCUUUCUUGGUUCCAUUUAGUGUCAACGCGCCGUCUCUUCUCCGCAAACAACAGCAUGCUGGGGGGGGGACACUAGCUGGUCUCAACCAGAGGCGGGUACUGUGUUUCUGUGGCAUCUCGUCCUUGAAUUUCUUUUAUUGAGUCGGUUCUUUGCAUUUUUCGGUCCAGGCCAAUCCAGUGGCAUAUUUCCCUCAUUGACUGCAGGCUUGAAGGAGAGAAGGAGUGCCACUGCGAGCGGUCCAAGAUGAGGUGCAAAAAGCGCAAGAAAUGUUGACCCACGACUAGACAGUGCGCACAAGCCGGUUAAUAAACGUCCACGUAUCGUUAUAUAUUUACAGGCAGGCACGAUCACACACAAAUAUACACAUUGAGGACCGGAUACGUUUUCUAGUGCUAUCAUACUCCAGAAAACAUAGGCAAAUGCGCAGUGUCUGGGGCAGUGGCAGAACGCGAGAUACCGUGCGCAGAAAAGCAUCGACGCUGGUUUUGCGCGACCCAGUAUCUGCUGGGAAACGUCAUAUAGCGUAAAUAGAAUAGAAUUGGUACAGUUCUGACUUCAUUGUGACCGCCGUAGCGUGUGGAGAAGUCCCUUUAUCUCGUAGCCCCCUCUGAGCACUGUAGGGUGUUCUUCGCCGCUGCAGCGUGCAUGGGUACAUCUUGCUCGGAGUCACGAUUUAUCACUCCUUAUCUGGGUGUCUGUACGUCUACAGCUUUAUCAUGCGCCAGUUUCUUGUGUCAAACGUCGUCUCCGUGUCGCGUUGCCUUUAAGUGGCACAGCCCGUGUGUUCCUGUCUCUAUUCGUCAUUUUCUCAACUCAGGUGUCUGCCUUUGUUCAUGACGACUAAAUACAUGUGCUUCCUGGUCGUUUCUUAUACUUCAUCUAUACUGAAUAUUCAUAUGUGUUUGUGUCGGCAGAGGUGUGUCGUGUUUCUCUGUCACUCAUUAAAACAUUUUCAUCACCCGCCAUCAAAGGGGAUCUCGCUCAAAAGGCCCAGGAAAAACGAACGUUGAAUGUGAAUGGCGAUUGCAGGGGCACACCUCUCUGUGGUAAUGACCAUUGACAGCAUAGACGCUUAUACUUAGGCAUGCAUGGCUUAAUCUUUACG
rnacentral:lncRNA from 1 species